rnacentral:sRNA from 1 species
AGGUGGCAACUGUCAAGCCCACGAAACUGUGUAGGAAACAUUAACUCUGCAGUCAGAGAUAAUGUGAUGACACCAUUGUUACUUCUCUAGACAUUCAGGUUUUGAUGGGAAGCCUUGUGUACCUGAGACAAGGGAUUGAGAACUCGCCAUAUGUUCACCUACUUGAUGCAAACCAGUGGGCUGAUAUCUGUGACAUCUUUACACGGGAUGCUUGUGCCCUCCUGGGGCUCUCCGUGGAGUCCCCUCUCAGUGUCAGUUUCUCAGCAGGUUGUGUGGCGCUGCCAGCUUUAAUUAACAUCAAAGCCGUGAUUGAACAGAGGCAGUGUACUGGAGUUUGGAACCAGAAAGAUGAAUUACCUAUUGAAGUGGACCUUGGUAAAAAGUGCUGGUAUCACUCUAUAUUUGCCUGCCCCAUUCUUCGUCAGCAAACAACAGAUAACAAUCCACCCAUGAAAUUGGUCUGUGGUCAUAUUAUAUCAAGAGAUGCCCUGAAUAAAAUGUUUAAUGGUAGCAAAUUAAAAUGUCCCUACUGUCCAAUGGAACAAAGUCCAGGAGAUGCCAAACAGAUAUUUUUCUGAAGAGAUAACUUUAG